rnacentral:lncRNA from 1 species
GCAUGCGAGAGCGAGAAAUGAUGAGCGAGCGAGGUCACCCCAGAUCAGCUGCACUCCACGCCUAGUCUCCGGAUCAAAUCUCGUCCCUAACCUCUUUUUUAACUUGAUCGAAUGACCUCGAGUGAGACCUCGGCUCCACGCCUCCCAGUGACCGCGAGUGAGAUUAUUUCGCGAGCAACAGUUUUCCACUUCCGACGAGCGACAGAUACAACUACCAGAAAAUAGGAGGAAACCUCGCUAUUGGUUUUUGACCUACAAGCCGAAGACUAGCACGCUACAUCUAUUUCAUAAAUCUUAUCUACUUUUUAGUUAAUUGGUUUGUAAUUUCUUAAUUUUCUAUUUAAUCAAAAUCGCCUUAAAAAAAAAAUUUAAUUAAUGUAGAUUAUUCGAGGGUACGUUCUUGAUUUGAAUAAAUUAAACAAAUCUUAGAUUUAGAUAAAUAUGAAAAUAUAUUGAAAGUUAUUGAAGCAAAGAAAUAAAAUUGAAGACGUUAUUGAAAUUUGAAAACCCAAAAUUUAAGCUUGACAAUUAGAAAUUGGAAUUAUUGAUAAAAAUGUGAAAUUUCUCAGAAAUGAAGGAAUGAAACAGAAACAAUCUAAGGACAAAAAGAAAUAUCAACCUAAACAAACUAGACAACAAAACAAAGUAAACUUAAUCUGAAAUUAAACAAUCGCAACUAAUCACCUAAUAAGCAAUCAAGAGAAAGAAGAGAGAAAUAAAAAUAAAAAAUAACUUGCUGACCUGUAAUAUAUAUAUAGCACUCAACCUGUAAUCAAAAUUCAAGCAGAGAAGAUGAUAAAAAAAAUAAUAAAUAAAUUCUAACCUGUAAUUGCUAACCUGCAGAACACAAUUACAAAGAACCUGUGGUUUUCAAAGAACAACUACAAAGCAAUUGCAACCACGCAAUUCAAUUCCAUUCAACAGAAGAAUCAAUUAAAUUGCGCACAGAAAUAACUCUCAUUUAAAUUCAGUAAAAGAGAGAGAGAGAAAUCCCGUAUCCAGAAAGUAAAAUCGACUAUCAACUGUAAUCAAACUAAAUCAGACACAUUACAUGACAGACGUAAUAACUAAACUCUCUAAAAAAUAAAUCGCAAAAAUCGGGAAUCAGAACAAAAGAUGAGAAGGAAAAAAAAAUCACGACGCAAUCAACCGUAGUCGGAAAGAAUCGGAAAGAAAAAAAUCGGAAAGAAAAAAAAAAGAACUAUCUGUCAGUAAUUAACUGUAAUCAAACAGAAGAUGAGAUCGACAAAAAAAAUCCAAAACGGAAUCCGAGUAUGAACUAAAUGGAUAGUGGGAAAAAAAACUAAAUCGAGAGUAGAAAUAACGAUCGAAAUAGUAUUAGAUGAACUAAAUCGAAAUAACCAUCAGAAAAGAAAUAACGCGCGAUCAGAAAAAAGAAACAAGAAACUCGAUCAGAAAUAACGGAUCAAGCACGAUCGAAAAAAAAAUUGACCAGAAGCCCGACGCACUCACGCACGAUCAGACAAAAAAGAAAAAUCAAAACUCGAUCAGAUCGGAAAUAAAAUAAAAAAACAGAUUAAAAUUGCAAUCAAGAUCUAAAAUUACCUAAAUCAAGAUCUGAAAAAUUAAAAUCUACAAACCUGAGAAGAGUCGACGCGGAAGACAAGCGCAGAUCCGACACGACCGAACGCGGGAAACAGAGGCACUCGCGGGAGGAAUCGUAGUAACUCAGAUGAAUCUGCAACUUCUAGUAGAUAAAAUCGCAGAAGAAGACGAUCUCGCGGAGGAAGGCGAUCAAUAAAGCUAGAAAACUGAUACCAUCUCAGAAAUGCUUAACAUUGAUUAUAAUAGAAUUGGAAAGAUUAGUUAUUACAAUAUAGCAAAUAUCCUUUUAUAGGAUUUAGAGUUUAUCCAACUAACAUAUUACAUAUGUUUACCAUACUACCAUAAAAUUUACAAAUAAAUCCAUCAUUUGAUCAAUUGGGCAUGGUACCAAUAGUAUCUUUACAUCUUUGAUUGCAGGUAUGGGAAAAAACAGUGAGUUUGUACGGAGAAAAUAGAUGAAGUUUCUUUUUGUUUCUGUGACUGAUUUAAUGAUGCAGUUAUUGAAUCAGACCCGUGAUUUUUUUAAUGUCUUUUCUUUUAGCUGUUUAUAAUUAGUUCUAUUCAAUUUAGAAGGAGCAACAGCUUUCAGCAGAAGCAAUGCUUUUUUUACUAUGUACUACAAUGGGUUAAACUAGUUGAAAUUUGGCCAAAAAAUAAUUUAAAUGUCAGGAUUUAGGGUUCUUACUUUGAAAUUUGAAACUGUAUUUUUCUUUUCUUUUCUUCCUUUUAAUUAAUUCCCUGAUUAAGUGAAAACGAUAAUAGAUCGGAGGUGUGUGCGCUAGAGCAGUUAGGGUUCGGAGUUGAAGAGUCGCCGGACGAGAGCUUGGAACGUUUGGAACACUAGUAGGGUUUAGUGUUUUUGAUAUUUGAAAAAGUUGAGUAAAAGAUUAUUACAAAGACUAUUUAUAUCAUGACCUAAGCUAAUGGGCCAACAUUGGUUGGGCCUGAUUAUAUCUAAUAAUAUUAAUCUAAAAGAUGAUAAUCUAAACACUUAAUCUUAAUACCCCCCCUCAAGCUGGAGAGUGUAUGUCAUAGAGUCCCAGCUUGGGCAGCAGAUUUCUUAGAGCUUCAAGACUUGCCGGCUUUGUUAAUAUAUCUGCAAUUUGAGAUGUUGAUGAAACAUGUUGUAAUUUGAAUAGCCCAGCUUGUAGAUGAUCACGAAUUAGAUGACAGUCAAUCUCUAUAUGCUUUGUGCGUUCAUGAAAAACUGGGUUUGUUGCAAUGUGAAUUGCUGCCAUAUUAUCACAAUGUAGUGUUGUCUGUCUUGAUGGUUUCACCUGCAGAUCAUUCAAAAAAUAAUGCAACCACAUAAUUUCACAGACAGUUGAUGCCAUAGCCCUGUAUUCACUCUCAGCAGAUGAUCUACUGAUAGUUGUUUGUUUUUUUGAUUUUCAGGCUAUAGCAGAUCCACCUAAUAAGAUUGUGUAGCCUGUUAUUGACCUUCUUGUGUUGGGGCAGUCUGCCCAAUCUGCAUCACAGUAGGCCUCUAGUUGUAGAGGUGCAUCUCUCCUGUAUAAGAUACCUUUCCCUGGUGCACCUUUGAUAUAUUUCAGUAUUUUGAUUGCUGAGUUAAAAUGUGAUUGUUUAGGUGUUGCCAAGAAUUGGCUGUGAUGACUAACUGAAAAAGCUAUAUCAGGCCUUGUGAUUGUCAAAUAUAACAAUUUCCCAAUUAGCUUCCUGUAAAUUGAAGGAUCCUUUAAUGGNNNNNNNNNNNNNNNNNNNNNNNNNNNNNNNNNNNNNNNNNNNNNNNNNNNNNNNNNNNNNNNNNNNNNNNNNNNNNNNNNNNNNNNNNNNNNNNNNNNNUGGGACAUUGGAAUUUUAGAUGGAGAAGAUCCCAAUUGUCCAAAAUCAUGUAGUAUAUCAAGGGCAUAUUUCCUUUGUGACAGGAAUAUACCUUGGUUUGAUUGGGAUACCUCAAUUCCUAGAAAGUAUUUGAGUUUACCCAAAUCCUUUAUAUGGAAUUGUAGAUGUAGGUAUUCCUUUAGUUUUUGGAUUUCAGCUUCAUUAUCACCUGAUAUAAUUAGAUCAUCCACAUAAAUAAGUAGACAAGUGUAUGAAUUUGUAGAUGACUUAGAGAAUAAUGUGUAGUCAGAGUGAGAUUGGGUGUACCCAAACUUAGUCAGUGCAGAGGUGAGUUUUUCAUACCAAUUCCUGUUUGCCUGUUUCAGGCCAUAUAAAGACUUCUUUAGUUUGCAUACCCUGGUGUCACCUGGGGGUAGCAUUCCUGGAGGUGGAGACAUAAAUAUUUCUUCAGAUAAUUCACCAUGUAAGAAGGCAUUACUUACAUCCAUCUGAUAUGUAGACCAGUUUUUGGUUGAGGCUACUGCCAGCAGUGUCCUAACAGAGAUGAUCUUUGCCACUGGUGAAAAGGUUUCCUUGUAAUCAAAGCCUUCUAUUUGAGUGUGCCCUUUUGCUACAAGCCUGGCUUUUAACCUUUCAAUUUGGCCAUCAGACUUGUGUUUGACUUUAUAUACCCACCUAGAUCCUACUAUUUUCCUUUCUUUUGGCCUUGGUACCAUUUCCCAAGUGUCAUUUAAUUCAAGAGCUGCAAGUUCAUCAUUCAUGGCUUUUACCCAUUCCUGACUUUGACUUGCUUGAUUGAAGGAUGUUGGUUCAGUUGUGAUAGAAAUUUUGUCUAAAUAAUCAGUGUGAGAGGUAGACAGUCUUUUGUAUGUUAAGUAAUCAUGCAUUGGAAAAGAUGUGCCUGUAGAUUUUCCUGUGCUUGUGGCAAAUGAACAGAAAUAAUCAUUUAAUUUAGUUGGUGGUUUUCUCUGUCUACUUGGAUAUCUUUGGUUCUGUGUUUGAUUUUUUUCUGAAUUUUGGAGUAUUGUUGGNNNNNNNNNNNNNNNNNNNNNNNNNNNNNNNNNNNNNNNNNNNNNNNNNNNNNNNNNNNNNNNNNNNNNNNNNNNNNNNNNNNNNNNNNNNNNNNNNNNNUGAAUUUGUGUCAGACUCAUCUGAGAUUGAGUCGAUUUGGUCUGUCUCAGAGAGAUCAGUGUCAUUCAAUUGACCUUUGCUUUGGUUUUUGUUUGUUAUUUGAUCAUUUGAUUUGUUUUCAGAUGAAUCAAUUUUCUUAUCUAAGGGAAACCUAUCUUCAUAAAAGAUCACAUCUCUACUUAUUGAGAUGUGAUGGGUGUCUAACUCAUAUAUGAUAGAACCCUUUUGGGUUGAGGAUUUCCCUAAGUAUAUGCACUUUCUUGCUCUGGGGGAGAACUUGUCUUCUUUUACAAGACAAGUUGCAUAACAUAGGCAACCAAAGGUCCUCAGACUUUCAUAGUCAGGUUGCUUGGAAUGCAUGAGCUCAUAAGGAGAUUUAUCUUCAGUCACCCUGGAUGGUAACAUAUUGAUAAUGUGGGUGGCCUGAAUUAUUGAGUAUCCCCAUAACUCAAUUGGUAUUGAGGAUUGAAGCUUUAAGGAUCUAGCUACAUUCAAGAGGUGUUGGUGUUUCCUCUCAACCACACCAUUCUGUUGUGGUGUGUGUGGGCAACUAGAAUAAUGGAUGAUUCCAUUGGCUUUGAGGAAUUCAUCCAUUGAUGAGGAGAAGAAUUCUCCACCAUUAUCAGUCCUUAUAGCCUUAAUAGACUUACCAAAUUGAUUUUUGAUAAGGGCAUGCAAGUUUCUGAAAAUACUGAAACACUCAGACUUCACAGUAAUUAAGUAUGUCCAGGUGUACCUGGUAUAAUCAUCAACCACAGUUAAAAAGUAUUUCUUCCCAUGGAUUGUUGGAGUGUGAAAGUUCCCCCACACAUCCAUGUGAAGUAACUCAAAUGCAUGUUUAGUUCUAGAAGCAUGUAAUGGAAAUGAUUUCCUAGAUUGUUUAGAUAGAUGACAAAUAUCACAAUGUUCAACAGAAGUAAAGUUCUUAAAAUCUAAAGUAUUGUUCAAAAUGUUUUUAAGUUUGUCACUAGAGGUGUGACCCAAUCGUCUAUGCCAUGUUGUUGUAGUGAUGGCACCUGCAAAACAAUCUCUACCACUGGUUUGUGGUAGAAGAUACAGCCCCUUCUUCAUUUUACUCAGACCAACUUCCUUCAUCUGAACCUUGUCAAAUAUAAGGGCACAAGAUUUAGAGAAUUGAACUUCAUAAGUAUCAUGUUGUGUUAAUUUGCUAAUUGAUAGCAAAUUAACUUGGAAGGAUGGGGUAUAGUACACAUCCUUUAGUGUGAUAUCAGAUGAAACUUUAAUAUCACCUUUUUGAGAUACUAUCUGACUGUCCCCAUUGGGCAGUGAGAUUUUAAAUGAAUCACAUUUCGUGAGUUUUAGGAACAAGGAUUCAUUGCCACUCAGGUGUUCUGAUGCACCUGAGUCAACAAUCCAGUAUGUGUUAAUGGAAUUUGAAAGAACAUUAUUAGCAUUACCUGAAUCUCUGCGCUUGGGCAGGGGCCUUGGAUUGUACUUCUCUGAAUAUA